AGAGUUUGAUUAUGGCUCAGGAUUAACGCUGGCGGCGUAGCCUAAUACAUGCAAGUCGAAUGGUAGUAGCAAUACAAACCAUGGCGAACGGGUGAGUAACACGUAGGCAACCUGACUUUAAGACGAGGAUAACGUUGGAAACGACGGAUAAUACUGGAUAGGACAUCAGAAAGGGCAUCCUUAGAUGUUUAAAGGUUAUUAUGCCACUUAGAGAGGGGGCCUGCGGCGCAUUAGCUAGUUGGUGAGAUAACAGCCCACCAAGGCGAUGAUGCGUAGCCGGACUGAGAGGUUGAACGGCCACAAUGGAACUGAGAACGGUCCAUACUCCUACGGGAGGCAGCAGUAGGGAAUUUUCGGCAAUGGGCGCAAGCCUGACCGAAGCAACGCCGCGUGAACGAAGAAGUUAUUCGUAAUGUAAAGUUCUCUUAUCUGGGAAGAAAAACAAAUUGACGGUACCAGAUGAAUAAGCUCCGGCUAACUACGUGCCAGCCGCUGC
rnacentral:rRNA from 1 species